rnacentral:rRNA from 1 species
CCUACGGGAGGCAGCAGUAGGGAAUAUUGCUCAAUGGGGGAAACCCUGAAGCAGCAACGCCGCGUGGAGGAUGAAGGUUUUCGGAUUGUAAACUCCUUUUGUUAGAGAAGAUAAUGACGGUAUCUAACGAAUAAGCACCGGCUAACUACGUGCCAGCAGCCGCGGUAAUACGUAGGGUGCAAGCGUUACUCGGAAUCACUGGGCGUAAAGAGCGCGUAGGCGGGAUAGCAAGUCAGAUGUGAAAUCCCAGGGCUUAACCACAGAACUGCAUUUGAAACUGUGAUUCUAGAGUAUGGGAGAGGUAGGUGGAAUUCCUGGUGUAGGGGUGAAAUGCGUAGAGAUCAGGAGGAAUACUCAUUGCGAAGGCGACCUGCUAGAACAUAACUGACGCUGAGGCGCGAAAGCGUGGGGAGCAAACAGGAUUAGAUACCCUAGUAGUC